GUUUCCUUGUACUGAGCUUAUGUUCUCCACCCACUACUUAGUAAGAACUCCUUAACAACUUAAAGCUUUAUCCCUGUGAGUACCAGAAAAGUGAUCUGAGUAUUUAUUGAGCAGGGAGAACAAACUGCUUGCUCCAGGCAGGGAGAAAGCUUAUGGAAAUGAUAUUAGACCUUCAGCAAAGUGCACAGCUGCAUCAUACAGAAGCUGAGACUCAAACUGACAGGCAAAUAAGCCAGAUCACGGAAGGGGCCUCUGUGUGGCAGCUCUGAGCUACCAAGUGUUGGACAACUAGGCAAAAAGUGCAAUGGAACAGGGCAGAAAAUAACACACUAACUUCAGGCAACUGUUGCUUAUUCAUGGACUGGAAAGAAGCAUUUUCCACAGAUGUCAGCUUCUGUCUGCUGUCAUGCUCCACUCUGAGUGAUGCCACAUUCAGCACUGAGUAGUACUGGCAAAGGAGAGCAGCUUCUCAGAAUGAGGUGUGCAGCUGCCAUUCCAGGUGUGCAGCUGCCAUUCCAGCUGUGCAGCUGCCAUUCCACAUUGCAGUAG
rnacentral:lncRNA from 1 species